rnacentral:misc_RNA from 1 species
UUUACGUACUAGCACAUGGGAAUUAUUGAGUAGAUUGAUCAAUUGUGACAUAGGUAGCCUUGCUUUGGUUGUUGGUAUUUCUUGAUGUUAGGAUAUGACUCAAAUCCUAGUGUGAUUUUCAAAAUGUAUUUUCCUACUUUGGGCAUUAUAAUAUUCCUCAAUUGGAUAGAGGAUUAUUUUUUAUUUAAAUUAGGAUUUCUAUUUUAGUGUUAUUUUUUUUAAGUAAAAUUCAUUUUUUAGUAGAAUUUCUAUUGAUGUUAGAUUUGAAGGAGCUAACACUAUAAAUGUUAGCAUUAUAGGAGAGAUUAUUUGGCUUUGGCCUAUGUGCAAGAGGAAGGGACUCUUGUCUAUUGUAGCUUAUGGAGGGAUUGUGUUUAUAAAGUUAAAAUAGUAAAUAUAUUAGUUAUGUCUAGAUGAGAAUGAAAUGGACAAUCUAAUAUGUUUACGAUGAUUAUUAGCUUUAUUGAGAGUUAUCUUUUGGGUGUAAUAGGGUUUAUGAAUUGAUAAUGGAAAAUGAAAUACUCGUGGACAUGGUCACAUGUUGAGAA